GGAACACGGUGUUUGGUUUUAUAAAUUCCAUUUUGGUGGAAUAGGAAGGAAUUUCUGGCUUAUCUUGAUCAUCAUGAGGACGGAGAAACUCAAACUAUGUGUUUCCUGUGCUUUCACACUACAACAAUCAACACAGAAGACUGACGGCGGAGGGGGGUUCUCCAUACAGCAAGCAAGCAAUCAGUUCUGCAGUGGACACCAG
rnacentral:lncRNA from 1 species